rnacentral:rRNA from 1 species
ACGAAGCAUGAUUGUAAGAUUAUGUGGACAAUAUAGAAGUGAGAAUGACGGCAUGAGUAGCGAAAAGUGUGCGAAAAACACACUCACCGAAAACCCAAGGAUUCCUGGGGAAGGUUCAUCCACCCAGGGUUAGGCGGGACCUAAGGCGAGGCCGAAAGGCGUAGUCGAUGGACAGCGGGUAGACAAUCCCGCCCUUCGGUAGCUCGUUUGACAGAAGUGGUGACGCAGAAAGCUAUGCACGCCGGGUGAUGGAAAUCCCGGUACAAAGUCGUAGGCUGAAAAAAGAGGCAAAUCCCUUUUUUCUAAAGGCCGAGAACUGACGUGGAAGAAUCUGAUUCGAGAAGGUGCAAAUGCUCGGCUGCCGAGAAAAGCCACUAUGGAGAACUAUCGAACCCGUACUCAAAACCGACACAGGUGGGUUGGCUUAGAAGGCUAAGGUGAACGGGAUAACCAUUGUUAAGGAACUCUGCAAGUUGACUCCGUAACUUCGGGAGAAGGAGUGGCUGGAGAUGUCAAUACUAUACGUAAUAAGCAUCUUUGGUUCGCAGAAACCAGGCUCAGGCGACUGUUUAACUAAAACACAGGACUCUGCUCAAGGCGCAAGCCGAAGUAUAGGGUCUGACACCUGCCCGGUGCUGGAAGGUUAAAGGGAGAAGUUAGACGCAAGUCGAAGCCUUGAACUGAAGCCCCAGUAAACGGCGGCCGUAACUAUAACGGUCCUAAGGUAGCGAAAUUCCUUGUCGGGUAAGUUCCGACCUGCACGAAAGGUGUAACGAUCUGAGCGCUGUCUCGACAGUGGACCCGGUGAAAUUGUGGUACUGGUAAAGACGCCAGUUACCCGCAGUAGGACGGAAAGACCCCGUGGAGCUUUACUGUAACUUGAUAUUGAAUUUCGGUAUAGUAUGUAUAGGAUAGGUGGGAGUCAGUGAAAUAAGGACGUCAGUCUUUAUGGAGACACCGUUGGAAUACCACCCUUAUUGUGCUGGGAUUCUAACCGCAAGCAUUGAAGCAUGAUGCGGGACAUUGUCAGGCGGGCAGUUUGACUGGGGCGGUCGCCUCCCAAAGAGUAACGGAGGCGCGCGAAGGUCACCUCAGUGUGAAUGGAAAACACACAAAGAGCGUAAGGGUAUAAGGUGGCUUAACUGUGAGACUGACAGGUCGAUCAGAAACGAAAGUUGGUCCUAGUGAUCCGGUGGUCCUGAGUGGAAAGGCCAUCGCUCAUCGGAUAAAAGCUACCCCGGGGAUAACAGGCUGAUGCCGCCCGAGAGUUCCUAUCGACGGCGGCGUUUGGCACCUCGAUGUCGGCUCAUCGCAUC